UGACCUCAAAUCAGGUAGGAUUACCCGCUGAACUUAAGCAUAUCAAUAAGCGGAGGAAAAGAAACUAACAAGGAUUCCCCUAGUAACG
rnacentral:rRNA from 1 species